rnacentral:lncRNA from 1 species
UGGGUCAUGGAGAUAUUCCAGGUAGUAGUUGCUGGGCAUGCGUUUCUGUUGGAGGCUCGCCGCGUCGUGCGCACGUUGGAGCGCAUCGUGGGCGUCGGCCAGAGCAAACGGAUCACGCAUGCACCAGAGAUGGGUAGCGUCGUGUGUGUACCUGUGUUAGCCCGGGUAUAAAUACCCCGGUACUGCUUGUUGAUGCAUCAGCAAGAGCCAGCGAUAUAGCCAUUGAAAAUAUAAAGAAGAUUAGGGCGUGCGUGCGCCCACGACGGCGUUCGUGCGCCGGCCCGGAAUUUCUUAUGCCUUGUAUCUUCUUCUUCCUUUAGCCGAGAGUGAGAGAGGGCUGCGGUUCCAAAAAUUGGUAUCAGAGCUUGGUGUCUUGGGCGUGCUUGCCGUGCCGGAGGCGUGGCAGCGAUGGCGGCGCUCCCCGGCGGCUGCGCGAUGGAGCUCCGGGCCGUGUGUCGGCCUAUGGAGGUGGGCGGCGCUGUGGCUGCCAUGGCGCGUGGCGGAGGCGGCGGGGCGGUGAAGUCGUACGUGCGGCGACCGCGGAGGCCGCCGAGGCGCUGCGUGGUGGCGCGGCGGCGCAACACUGCAUGGCGACAUGAGGCCGCGGCGGUUCAGGGCAAUAAGACGUGGCGGCGAGCCAGGCGCGACCGGUGCGUGUUAUGGGUGCGCACUGGACGCGUCGGGACCGCGGGCGCGCGUACGAGCGUGCGGUUGACAUUGGGAGGAGGCGUAUGUCGCCGUGGUGCUCGAGUCCGUGCUUGAGUUCGGCUACAUCCUUCCGGCGUUUGUCGCUGGCGGCUGCCAUGAUGGACGCGGAGGCGGCACGCGGUGAGCGUCUGGUGCGGUCGGACUCGUCGGGCGCGUCGGGUGCGCGCGGGACGUGCGGGAUGCACUAGUGCGGUCGGGCUCGUCGGGCGCGUCUGGUGCGCGCGGGACGUGCGGGGCGCAGAGUGGCGCCAGGCGUGUGUCGCCGGCGGAGAAGGAGCGGCGAUGGCAAGUCAAGAUUAAGGAGAGAAUGUUAGCAGUAAUCUUGAUUAGACUAUUAGUUAGUGCAUGCGUGGCUGUUAGUUGCGUAGCUGGGUCAUGGAGAUAUUCCAGGUAGUAGUUGCUGGGCAUGCGUUUCUGUUGGAGGCUCGCCGCGUCGUGCGCACGUUGGAGCGCAUCGUGGGCGUCAGCCAGAGCAAACGGAUCACGCAUGCACCAGAGAUGGGUAGCGUCGUGUGUGUACCUGUGUUAGCCCGGGUAUAAAUACCCCGGUACUGCUUGUUGAUGCAUCAGCAAGAGCCAGCGAUGUAGCCAUUGAAAAUAUAAAGAAGAUUAGGGCGUGCGUG